rnacentral:rRNA from 1 species
UACAGAGGGGGCAAGCGUUGUCCGGAAUCAUUGGGCGUAAAGCGCGUGUAGGCGGCCCGAUAAGUCCGCUGUGAAAGUCCAGGGCUCAACCCUGGGAUGCCGGUGGAUACUGUCGGGCUCGAGUCCGGAAGAGGGAGUGUGGAAUUCCUGGUGUAGCGGUGAAAUGCGCAGAUAUCAGGAGGAACACCUAUUGCGAAGGCAGCUCGCUGGGACGUUACUGACGCUGAGGAGCGAAAGCGUGGGGAGCGAACAGG